UACAGAGGGUGCGAGCGUUAAUCGGAAUUAUUGGGCGUAAAGCGCGUGUAGGCGGCUUUGCAAGUCGGGUGUGAAAGCCCUCAGCUCAACUGAGGAAGUGCGCCCGAAACUGCAGAGCUUGAGUGCCGGAGAGGGUGGCGGAAUUCCCCAAGUAGAGGUGAAGUUCGUAGAUAUGGGGAGGAACACCGGUGGCGAAGGCGGCCACCUGGACGGUAACUGACGCUGAGACGCGAAAGCGUGGGGAGCAAACAGG
rnacentral:rRNA from 1 species